UUCACCAUCCGUAUGGUUUGAGUGGCAGAGUUUCUUUUAAGAGGACCUUAACCCUCAGUCCACUAGGAAGAUACCCUCUCAACAAAUAUUUUCUGUGUGAAUACUUGGGCAGCUGUGGUCUCAGCACUAUAAUUAUAGGAGUACACAGAACUACUUCUGAGAGAUCUACAGAAGUUGCAGCUCCUCACAAAUAAGAACUAGUAGCCUGUGGCUUUCACAGUGUAAGCACGUUUCAGUGCUAUGGCACUGACCUAAGCAAACCCUCCCAAGACAUCAACCUCCAACAGUGGACUAAGGUUUUAUUGUACCUAGAAUGUGACUGAUGUAUAAGAAGGAAGCAGCAAAGAUGUCAAGGAGAAAAUGGAAAACUGAAAAAUGGGAUAUAUACUAAAGCAUUACCAAAGCCUUUCAUAUAUUUUUGUGCAAAUUAUUACCAUAUUUAACCAGCAGUUCUUCUUUGGAAAGAUGCUCUAGUUGUGUCAUAUACUGUGACAAGCAGUACAUGUUGAAUUUUGGUUCAUAAUUUUUGCCUGAAUACGCAUAGUUAACCUCUAUGCCCAAAUGUAAAGAAAGAACAAAAUGAAUCUGAAACUAUUCCUUGCCACAGGGUUGGCACCGAGAGCUGGCUUUUCUGAAAUGUAAACAGCAAAGUGAGAAAGUUCCAUUUGCUACUGCAGUGCUGUUUGUUUAAACCUAAAUCUGCAAAUAUGAUUGAAGCCUGGCUUGGUUUCAAAAAUUUGAUAUGUUAUUUAAAGCUGCAGUGCCAUGUUUUGAAUCUCAGACUAUUUACUUUCUUCAGGCUUAUUGUUACGUUGUUAAGCUGCCUCUCCUUCUUUCACUAAUAUUAAAGUUAUUUUUAAGGGACAUUGAAAGUGGAACUGUGGGAAACUCUUCUAUACAAUUCAAAACCACAUGCAAGCCUCAUCUGCUAAAUAGACUCUUGACCUCAAAGGCCCUUGUUAAGUUUCAGAAGAUUUGCAAGUUUGCUCCAGGGUCAUCUUGAAGCUUCUGGCUAAUGUGAAGUUGUUACAGCAAGAAUUUUCAAAGAAUUUUAGAUGAUAGGAAACUAUGUGCAAAAAUCAUCCAAAGUUCUGUGAGCCCCAAAGGAGUAAACAGCAUUUGGAACGUGAUGCACUUCAGAGUGAAAGGAUUUUUUAAAAAUACAUCAGGAAUGAUUAAUAAUUUUAUACUUUUAAGUGACCUGAUUAAAUGCAAACUAAAAUUAACAAGAUUUCAGCUGAGGUCAUUACUCCCUAGAUAGCAGCCCAAUAGUAUUCUUGAUUGGAAAACAUUUAAAGAAUGACCAAAGAAAAGAAAACGUAAUUAUCUCCUAUUUAUAAGCAGGAAAACUCAAGAAUUACAUAAAUGAUACAACUUCCCUAAGGUCACCCUGAAAGAUCAGUACCAAUGUCAAAAGAGGACUGAGAAUUUCAGAUGGUUGAUCUUAUGCUUUACCAAAAAAAAAAAAAAAAAAAGGCACUGUUUCAUUUCUCUAGUUAUGAGAAGUCUAUGGGAUAUGACUGUCACUCAAAGAAGACAUCUUAGAUACUCAACUGCAUUCCUAAUUGCGCUACUGAAUCAAAGGAGAAGACUGCUGUUUGCAUAGUUUUUGGGGAACAAAGAGAAAAUUUGUAGCACCAUAGAAUGAUUAAUGUUUGAAAGACCAUUAAGAAGAUUUAGUCCAACCAUCAACCCAUUCAUGCACUAUUUUAAUUAAUAAUGCUGUCUUCAGGAGGUGAUGAUUCUAUUUAGUACCAGGUUUUGGCAAGUCACACUAUGACUGGAUCAGCAGAAUUUUUACAGCAACUGCUUUUAAGAGCAUUUACCUAGGUUGGAUACCUGACGUGUUUCACACUGAAAUUCAGCUGAGCUAUGUUCAGUCUUUUUAAAUCAGAUAUGACAUUAAAAACAACAACAAAACCAGAGAAGGAGUU
ensembl:lncRNA